rnacentral:tRNA from 1 species
AGGCGAGUAGCUCAAUUGGCAGAGCACCGCUCUCCAAAAGCGGGGGUUGGGGGUUCAAUUCCCUCCUCGCCUG